GUGCUGUGUUUCUGUGUGUACAUACCUAGGUGCACCCUACAUACACACACACACACACACACACAUACACACACACACAC
rnacentral:miRNA from 1 species